AUUGAACGCUGGCGGCAUGCCUUACACAUGCAAGCCGAACGGUAACAGGCCUUCGGGCGCUGACGAGUGGCGAACGGGUGAGUAAUGCAUCGGAACGUGCCCAGUCGUGGGGGAUAACGCAGCGAAAGCUGUGCUAAUACCGCAUACGAUCUGCGGAUGAAAGCGGGGGACCUUCGGGCCUCGCGCGAUUGGAGCGGCCGAUGUCAGAUUAGGUAGUUGGUGGGGUAAAGGCUCACCAAGCCAACGAUCUGUAGCUGGUCUGAGAGGACGACCAGCCACACUGGGACAGAGACACGGCCCAGACUCCUACGGGAGGCAGCAGUGGGGAAUUUUGGACAAUGGGCGAAAGCCUGAUCCAGCAAUGCCGCGUGCAGGAAGAAGGCCUUCGGGUUGUAAACUGCUUUUGUACGGAGCGAAAAGGCUCCCUCUAAUACAGGGGGCUCAUGACGGUACCGUAAGAAUAAGCACCGGCUAACUACGUGCCAGCAGCCGCCGUAACAC
rnacentral:rRNA from 1 species